AAGAAGAGCAGGAAGAGGAAAAGGCCAUAUGACCCAGGAGAAGGCCCAAGGAUCAAACGGAGGAGAAGCUGGCCAUAGUGACAUUUGUACUUCACUUAACUAUUUUCAUUAUAUUAUUUAGUAUUAUUUGCUUAAUUUAUGAUUGCGUAGGAAUGAGAUAUAUAAAAACUUGUGCGAACCUA